GGUGGCGUAGCCAAGUGGUUAGGCAUCGGUCUGCAAAACCGGGUACGGCGGUUCAAUUCCGCCCGCCACCU
rnacentral:tRNA from 1 species